rnacentral:rRNA from 1 species
UGGCCGCGGUAUUUUGACCGUGCAAAGGUAGCAUAAUCAUUAGUUUUUUAAUUGAAAGCUGGAAUGAAUGGUUGGACAAGAAAAUUUCUGUCUCUGGUUGAUUUUUUAGAAUUUUAUUUUUUAGUAAGAAAGCUUAAAUUUUUUUAAGGGACGAGAAGACCCUAUAGAAUUUUAUAUAUAUAUAGGUUUUCAAUUUUUAGAAUAAUUAUUUUGUGAUUUAUUGUAUAUAUUUUGUUGGGGUGAUAGAAAAAUUUAAAUAACUUUUUUUUUGUUUUAGUCAUUAAUUAAUGAAUAUUUGAUCCAUUUAUUGUGAUUAUAAGAUUAAAUUACCUUAGGGAUAACAGC